ACCUGGGUCGAAUAUGGCCAGCCGAAAAAUAUGGCCACAUGCCAUUAUUUCAAAUACGAAAUAUUAUAAUAACCUGAACGCGACCAUAAAUUGUCGCUAGUGUAGCGUGUAUCCGAACGGCGUACCUGUCACUCCUCCCGCGCGCCCGCUAGUCGCCCAGUGUUUAUUAAAUGGAAACGAGUUUUAAAGUUAUAAAAACAUCAAACCAUGGCACGCUAUAAAUCUAAAGGGAUUAGAGGUAAUUGGUCAGAAGCAUCAAUGAAACAAGCA